AAUCCAUGCAUCAGACACUUCUGAAUUAAGUCUUUAAAUUGUUCCCAAGCAUCAUAUAAUGUUUCAUCCUCUAAUUGCUGAAAAGACGUGAUGUCAUUUCUAAGCUU
rfam:Gossypium raimondii Chr12_contig_495, whole genome shotgun sequence.